rnacentral:misc_RNA from 1 species
UCAAGAAGGGAUUUUUCCACCUAAGAUAUUCAAAUUAGCAUGCAAAUCAAGAUAAGGUGUAUGCACAUCAGAGGCACAUUAAUAUAUACUAAAAUACAAGUAUGUCAAAUAUUUAGACAGUCCUCUUGCAUCUUCUUGAAUAGAUAAUAUGUAACAGAUCAAUACACUGGCAAAUAUCAACUAUCAAUACUGAACCAUACAAUAUGUUAUGAUUCAGAAUUACCCUG